rnacentral:rRNA from 1 species
UCUGAGGGUUUGAUCCUGGCUCAGGGUGAACCCUGGCGGUGUGCCUAACACAUGCAAGUCGUGCGACGAACUCAGGAAAUUCUGCUUUUUAGCAGAAUUUCCUGGGGGAAAGCGGCGGACGGGUGAGUAACACCUGGGUAACCUACCCCCCGAACGGGGAUAACCCGCCGAAAGGCGGGCUAAUACCCGAUACCCUUUUCCGAUGGAAUCAUCGGAAAAGGAAAGCCUGCUUUUGCAGGCGUCGGGGGAUGGGCCUGGGUCCUAUCAGGUAGUUGGUGGGGUAAUGGCCCACCAAGCCGAAGACGGGUAGCUGGUCUGAGAGGACGGCCAGCCACACGGGGAUUGAGAUACGGCCCCGACUCCUACGGGAGGCAGCAGUGG